AUACGCGUGUGUGAUGAACCGUCUUGAGGUAUUGUAAAACACUUUCAGCAAGGGAAAAAAUUAUAUAAAUAAUACUUAUAUUAACUGAUAUUACCUGCAAAAGAAGUACCGGCUAACUCCGUGCCAGCAGCCGCGGUAAUACGGAGGGUACAAGCGUUAAUCGGAAUUAUUGGGCGUAAAGAGUACGUAGGUGGUAUAUUAAGUCAGAUGUGAAAUACUUAAGCUUAACUUAAGAACUGCAUUUGAAACUAAUAAACUAGAGUUUUAUAGAGGGGAGUAGAAUUCCAAGUGUAGCGGUGAAAUGCGUAGAUAUUUGGAGGAAUACCAGAGGCGAAGGCGACUCCCUGGGUAAUAACUGACACUGAGGUACGAAAGCUUGGGGAGCAAACAGGAUUAGAUACCCUGGUAGUCCAUGCUGUAAACGAUGUCAAUUUGAAGAUUGUAAUAUUAUUAUUUUUCUAUAAUUUCGUAGCUAACGCAUUAAAUUGACCGCCUGGGGAUUACGACCGCAAGGUUAAAACCUCAAAAUGACAUUGACUGGGGAACCCGCACAAAGCGGUGGAGCAUGUGGUUUCAAAUUCCGAAUACACGCG
rnacentral:rRNA from 1 species